rnacentral:rRNA from 1 species
AAAAGAAACCAACAGGGAUUGCCUCAGUAACGGCGAGUGAAGCGGCAACAGCUCAAAUUUUAAAGCUGGCGUCCUUGACGUCCGCAUUGUAAUUUGGAGAGGCACUUUCGGUUUGGGCGCCGGCCUAGGUUCCUUGGAACAGGACGUCACAGAGGGUGAGAAUCCCGUGCCGUCGGCUGUCCCAUUCCACGUGAAGUGUCUUCGACGAGUCGAGUUGUUUGGGAAUGCAGCUCAAAAUGGGUGGUAAAUUUCAUCUAAAGCUAAAUAUUGGUGGGAGACCGAUAGCGCACAAGUAGAGUGAUCGAAAGAUGAAAAGCACUUUGAAAAUAGAGUUAAAAAGUACGUGAAAUUGUUGAAAGGGAAGCGCUUGAGACCAGACUCGGCCUCGGACGAUCAGCCUCCCUUCUGGGCGGUGCACUCGUCUUUGGUCGGGCCAGCAUCGGUUGAGACGGCGGGACAAGGGCUUCGGGAAUGUGGCUCCUCUCGGGGAGUGUUAUAGCCCGUGGUGCAAUGCCGCCCGCCUCGACCGAGGACCGCGCUUCGGCUAGGAUGCUGGCGUAAUGGUCUUCAGCGACCCGUCUUGAAACACGGACCAAGGAGUCUAACACCUAUGCGAGUGUUUGGGUGUCAAACCC